GACGAACGCUGGCGGCGUGCUUAACACAUGCAAGUCGAACGGAAAGGCCCUGCUUUUGUGGGGUGCUCGAGUGGCGAACGGGUGAGUAACACGUGAGUAACCUGCCCUUGACUUUGGGAUAACUUCAGGAAACUGGGGCUAAUACCGGAUAGGAGCUCCUGCUGCAUGGUGGGGGUUGGAAAGUUUCGGCGGUUGGGGAUGGACUCGCGGCUUAUCAGCUUGUUGGUGGGGUAGUGGCUUACCAAGUGUUUGACGGGUAGCCGGCCUGAGAGGGUAACCGGCCACAUUGGGACUGAGAGACGGCCCAGAGUCGUACGGGAGGCAGCAGGGGGGAAUAUGGCACAAUGGGCGGAAGCCUGAUGCAGCAACGCCGCGUUCGGGAUGACGGCCUGCGGGGUGUGAACCGCUUUCGCCUGUGACGAAGCGGUAGUGACGGUAAUGGGUAAAGAAGCACCGGCUAACUACGUG
rnacentral:rRNA from 1 species